rnacentral:rRNA from 1 species
UACAGGGGGGGCAAGCGUUGUUCGGAAUUACUGGGCGUAAAGGGUCUGUAGGUGGCCAACUAAGUCAGACGUGAAAUCCCUCAGCUUAACUGGGGAACUGCGUCUGAUACUGGAUGGCUAGAGUGCGGGAGAGGAGAGUGGAAUUCCUGGUGUAGCGGUGAAAUGCGCAGAUAUCAGGAAGAACACCCGUGGCGAAGGCGGCUCUCUGGAACGCAACUGACGCUGAGACGCGAAAGCGUGGGGAGCAAACAGG